AUAUUGUUAGCAAUGGGCGGCGUCCGUCUGUUAAUCAGAGGGUCGCUGGUUCGAGCCCAGCAGAGGGAGCCA
rnacentral:tRNA from 1 species